CUCGGUCCUUGCGGUCGCGCGGCUCCGAGCAUCCUCCCGGACAGCCGCAUCUUAACCUAUCUCCCUCGGGGCAAGAGGCUCCGGUGGUUCCCGCAGAACGUCGAGUGGAGUCCGGUGUGCGGUGCUCCCGCUCGGCGCCGCCUCCCGAUCCCUCCCUGCACUCCCCCCCAACCCUCCCGCUCCUCCCCCUCCCAGGCUGUCACACGCGGCCAGGCAGCGCUGGGCUUCGACCCAAGCGCUGCCGACAGCUCUGGGCAGAGAGGUAAGGGUGCGGGCUGAGGCUGGGGCCAGGGGCGCGGUCCGGACCUGGCGGGGCUGAGGGCGACGGGAGCUCCGGGAGCGGCGGGGGAUGGGCGGCACGGUGGCAGAACCUAGUGGUUCUGAUAGUCCUGGUGCCACACAACGAAGACGUUGCUGUCCCUCUCUGACCCCUCCUCCCUCCUUAAACGCGCGGCUUCAAGACUAGCCUAACCAGGAGAACUCAGCCCCGCUCUCCAAGUAUGAAGCUGGCCUGUUUACUAGAGCAACAGGAGGAUUGAGCUUUGCCAGGGCAUCCUUGAGUAGCAGCAGGGUGUGAUGGCCACAUAAAUGUACACAAGAUAGGAGGCAUUCCAUCCUAGCAGCUGCAGUUACUACUGCCUCAUGAAUACAAGAAAGUAUUCAAAGAAAGGUGCCUGUCGGAAAGCAGCUUCCUCCACACCACAGACCUCCGGGGACACUAAGCAGCAUCAACUGACCAAUAAUAAAUGUUGGAGAACUUAUUCUG